ensembl:snRNA U6 U6 spliceosomal RNA
AUGCUUGUUUCGGCACAUAUGCUGAAAUUUGAGCAAUACAGACAAGAUUAGCAUAGUCCCUGCACAAGGAUGACAUGCAAAUUUUGAAGCAUUCCAUAUUAAA